rnacentral:hammerhead_ribozyme from 1 species
AUCCAUUUGACGAGUCCAGAAUAGGACCAAACGCGAGUCCUGGAU